GAUGAACGCUGGCGGCGUGCCUAAUACAUGCAAGUCGAGCGAACAGACGAGGAGCUUGCUCCUCUGACGUUAGCGGCGGACGGGUGAGUAACACGUGGAUAACCUACCUAUAAGACUGGGAUAACUUCGGGAAACCGGAGCUAAUACCGGAUAAUAUAUUGAACCACAUGGUUCAAUAGUGAAAGACGGUUUUGCUGUCACUUAUAGAUGGAUCCGCGCCGCAUUAGCUAGUUGGUAAGGUAACGGCUUACCAAGGCGACGAUGCGUAGCCGACCUGAGAGGGUGAUCGGCCACACUGGAACUGAGACACGGUCCAGACUCCUACGGGAGGCAGCAGUAGGGAAUCUUCCGCAAUGGGCGAAAGCCUGACGGAGCAACGCCGCGUGAGUGAUGAAGGUCUUCGGAUCGUAAAACUCUGUUAUUAGGGAAGAACAAAUGUGUAAGUAACUAUGCACGUCUUGACGGUACCUAAUCAGAAAGCCACGGCUAACUACGUG
rnacentral:rRNA from 1 species